rnacentral:rRNA from 1 species
AACGCACCUUGCGCUCCCUGGUAUUCCGGGGAGCAUGCCUGUUUGAGUGUCGUGAAAUCAUCAUGGUCAUGAUCUUUAAUUAAUCAUGGCUUGGUUUUGGAGGUUAUGUUGGCUUUUUAUUAAGUUGACUCCUCUUAAAUACAUUAGCUCAGUGUUUGGUGGCAUCACGGGUGUGAUAGAUAUCUACGCUCGCGGUUGUCUGCCAGGUAACCUUUGGUGACAAAGGUUCGCUGGAGCUCACAGAUGUCUCUCCUCGGCGAGGACAGCUUUUUUGAACGUUCGAUCUCAAAUCAGGUAGGACUACCCGCUGAACUUAA